rnacentral:rRNA from 1 species
AACGAACGCUGGCGGCAGGCUUAACACAUGCAAGUCGAACGCUCGUAGCAAUACGGGAGUGGCGGACGGGUGAGUAACGCGUGGGAACGUGCCCUGAGGUACGGAAUAACUGAGGGAAACUUCAGCUAAUACCGUAUGAGCCCCGAGAGGGGGGAAAGAUUUAUCGCCUUGGGAGCGGCCCGCGUCGGAUUAGCUAGUUGGUGGGGUAACGGCCUACCAAGGCUUCGAUCCGUAGCUGGUCUGAGAGGACGAUCAGCCACACUGGGACUGAGACACGGCCCAGACUCCUACGGGAGGCAGCCAGUGGGGAAUCUUGCGCAAUGGGGGGCAACCCUGACGCAGCCAUGCCGCGUGAACGAUGAAGGCCUUAGGGUUGUAAAGUUCUUUUACCCGUGACGAUGAUGACGGUAACGGGGGAAUAAGCUCCGGCUAACUUCGUGCCAGCAGCCGCGGUAAU